rnacentral:rRNA from 2 species
GGAGUAACGCUGGCGGCGUGCUUAACACAUGCAAGUCGAACGCUGAAGCACCAGCUUGCUGGUGUGGAUGAGUGGCGAACGGGUGAGUAAUACGUGAGUAACCUGCCCUUGACUCUGGGAUAAGCCCGGGAAACUGGGUCUAAUACUGGAUGCUACAUGUCACCGCAUGGUGGUGUGUGGAAAGGGUUUACUGGUCUUGGAUGGGCUCACGGCCUAUCAGCUUGUUGGUGAGGUAAUGGCUCACCAAGGCGACGACGGGUAGCCGGCCUGAGAGGGUGACCGGCCACACUGGGACUGAGACACGGCCCAGACUCCUACGGGAGGCAGCAGUGGGGAAUAUUGCACAAUGGGCGAAAGCCUGAUGCAGCGACGCCGCGUGAGGGAUGACGGCCUUCGGGUUGUAAACCUCUUUCAGCAGGGAAGAAGCCACAAGUGACGGUACCUGCAGAAGAAGCGCCGGCUAACUACGUGCCAGCAGCCGCGGUAAUACGUAGGGCGCAAGCGUUGUCCGGAAUUAUUGGGCGUAAAGAGCUCGUAGGCGGUUUGUCGCGUCUGCUGUGAAAGCCCGGGGCUUAACCCCGGGUGUGCAGUGGGUACGGGCAGACUAGAGUGCAGUAGGGGAGACUGGAAUUCCUGGUGUAGCGGUGGAAUGCGCAGAUAUCAGGAGGAACACCGAUGGCGAAGGCAGGUCUCUGGGCUGUUACUGACGCUGAGGAGCGAAAGCAUGGGGAGCGAACAGGAUUAGAUACCCUGGUAGUCCAUGCCGUAAACGUUGGGCACUAGGUGUGGGGGACAUUCCACGUUUUCCGCGCCGUAGCUAACGCAUUAAGUGCCCCCGCCUGGGGGAGUACGGCCGCAAGGCUAAAACUCAAAGGAAUUGACGGGGGCCCGCACAGCGGGCGGAGCAUGCGAUUAAUUCGAUGCACGCGAAGAACUUACAGGCUGACAUAUACGAUCGUCAGA